GAAUAAAUGAUGACACAAUGUGAUUUCUGCUCAGUGCUCAGAAUGUCAAUAUGAAGAGAUUUAACCAAGCGCGGGUAAACAGCGGGAGUAACUAUGACUCUCUUAAGGUAGCCAAAUGCCUCGUCGUCCAAUUAGCGACGCGCAUGAAUGGAUUAAUGAGAUUCCCACUGUCCCUAAUUACUAUCUAGCGAAACCACAGCCAAGGGAACGGGCUUGGCAAAAUUAGCGGGGAAAGAAGACCCUGUUGAGCUUGACUUUAUUCAGAAUUUGUGAAAUGGUGCUCGAGGUAUAGAAUAGGUGGGAGUGUAACGAAAUUGAAAUACCACUACUUUUGACGUUGUUUUACUUAUUAAAUAAAAACUAAAAGAUUAAUAAUCUUGAUUCUAGAAUUAACGAAUAUUACAUGUUGACUCCAUGUGGGUUAACCUCUGAUUUGGGAAGUUUGUUUAAGACAUUUUCUGGUGGGGAGUUUGGCUGGGGCGGCACAUCUGUUAAAAGAUAACACAGGUGUCCAAAGUAUAACUCAAUGAGAACGGA
rnacentral:rRNA from 1 species